rnacentral:rRNA from 1 species
AGCGAACGCUGGCGGCAGGCCUAACACAUGCAAGUCGAACGAACCCUUCGGGGUUAGUGGCGGACGGGUGAGUAACACGUGGGAACGUGCCUUUAGGUUCGGAAUAACUCAGGGAAACUUGUGCUAAUACCGAAUGUGCCCUUCGGGGGAAAGAUUUAUCGCCUUUAGAGCGGCCUGCGUCUGAUUAGCUAGUUGGUGAGGUAAUGGCUCACCAAGGCUACGAUCAGUAGCUGGUCUGAGAGGAUGACCAGCCACAUUGGGACUGAGACACGGCCCAAACUCCUACGGGAGGCAGCAGUGGGGGAUCUUGCGCAAUGGGCGAAAGCCUGACGCAGCCAUGCCGCGUGGAUGAUGAAGGUCUUAGGAUUGUAAAAUCCUUUCACCGGUGAAGAUAAUGACUGUAGCCGGAGAAGAAGCCCCGGCUAACUUCGUGCCAGCCGCCGCAGUAACAC